UUUGGCCCAACAGAUUCUGAUGGUACUAUCUGCCUGGUGGAGCCCCUUCACACCACAACAGACCUUGUAACUGAUGAAGAGGAUGAAACUGUGUCUGCUGCCUUUACAGAGGGGGAUCCAGAAAGGCAUACAGAGAGCAUGGCUGGACAGCAGCAGGAUGGUCCCUCAACUUCCACUGCACAGACUGACACAGUGAGAUGGAUGUUCAAUAAACACCAGAGGUUCAGUCCAUGGAAUUCAUGUGCAACUGUAUAAUUUAAUGUCCUUUAUGUAUUCCCAGUUACCAGUAAAACAAAUAUACAAAAUCCACUUGCUGAGAAAAAUACAAAAAACAGAUAAAGAAAUGCAGUACUUGGACCGCCAGAUUAAGAAG
ensembl:lncRNA